rnacentral:rRNA from 1 species
UACGUAGGGGGGCUAGCGUUGUCCGGAAUCAUUGGGCGUAAAGCGCGUGUAGGCGGUCCGGUAAGUCCGCUGUGAAAGUCGGGGGGCUCAACCCUCGGAUGCCGGUGGAUACUGUCGGGCUUGAGUACGGGAAGAGGCGAGUGGAAUUCCUGGUGUAGCGGUGAAAUGCGCAGAUAUCAGGAAGAACACCGACGGCGAAGGCAGCUCGCUGGGACGGUACUGACGCUGAGGCGCGAAAGCGUGGGGAGCGAACAGG